rnacentral:lncRNA from 1 species
UGCAGAGGGGAGUGGAAGGAGGAGCUGUUUCUCUAGGCCUUUUCAACAUACCUGUGGAGAUUUCUGUCACUGAAAGAAAUACCAACAUUGAAGAUUGCUAUUUAAAACAUUGCUGGUUCCUGUCAAGAAAACUUAAUUUCUCUGAAAACUUUCAUUCAUAUUGGACUCAAACUGACUCCAUCUUGUUGCCAGUAUUCAAGAAGACACCAGGGGGAGCCUUAUGAGAGUCUUAAAGCAGCACAUAUCCGGAUUGAGGUCCCUCAUACUUCUCCUUGUAGAGAAGACUUCCCUGCUGCCCUAAAGGAUAAAGUGAUGCCUGGAGGGUAGAGUUGAAUUUCCCAAGAUUCAGCAAGAAGCAAAGUGAUAAUUCAAACCCACAUCCUUUAACUUCAGAUGGAAUACUUUCACAAUUAAAUUAUGAAUGUCUUAAAAUUUCCUU